rnacentral:rRNA from 1 species
CCUACGGGAGGCUGCAGUGAGGAAUAUUGGUCAAUGGGCGGAAGCCUGAACCAGCCAAGUAGCGUGCGGGAUGAUGGCCCUACGGGUCGUAAACCGCUUUUGCACGGGGAUAACACCCUCCACUUGUGGAGGUCUGCAGGUACCGUGCGAAUAAGGGCCGGCUAAUUCCGUGCCAGCAGCCGCGGUAAUACGGAAGGCCCGAGCGUUAUCCGGAUUCAUUGGGCUUAAAGGGAGCGUAGGCGGGCGUUCAAGUCAGCUGUAAAAUCGCGCGGCUCAACCGCGCCCCGCAGUUGAAACUGGACGCCUUGAGUGGACGACAGGCAGGCGGAAUUCGUGGUGUAGCGGUGAAAUGCAUAGAUAUCACGAGGAACCCCGAUUGCGAAGGCAGCAUGCCGGGGUGCGACUGACGCUGAGGCUCGAAGGUGCGGGUAUCGAACAGGAUUAGAUACCCUUGUAGUC